rnacentral:rRNA from 1 species
GAUGAACGCUGGCGGCGUGCUUAACACAUGCAAGUCGAACGGGAAACCUUUUAUUGAAGCUUCGGCAGAUUUAGCUGGUUUCUAGUGGCGGACGGGUGAGUAACGCGUGGGUAACCUGCCUUAUACAGGGGGAUAACAGUCAGAAAUGGCUGCUAAUACCGCAUAAGCGCACAGAGCUGCAUGGCUCAGUGUGAAAAACUCUGGUGGUAUAAGAUGGACCCGCGUUGGAUUAGCUGGUUGGUGGGGUAACGGCCCACCAAGGCGACGAUCCAUAGCCGGCCUGAGAGGGUGAACGGCCACAUUGGGACUGAGACACGGCCCAGACUCCUACGGGAGGCAGCAGUGGGGAAUAUUGCACAAUGGGGGAAACCCUGAUGCAGCGACGCCGCGUGAAGGAAGAAGUAUCUCGGUAUGUAAACUUCUAUCAGCAGGGAAGAUAAUGACG